GAUGAAGAACGUAGUGAAAUGCGAUAAGUAAUGUGAAUUGCAGAAUUCAGUGAAUCAUCGAAUCUUUGAACGCACAUUGCGCCCCUUGGUAUUCCGGGGGGCAUGCCUGUUCGAGCGUCAUUAUCACCCCUCAAGCUCAGCUUGGUGUUGGGGCCUGCCGUCAAGGCAGCCCUUAAAAUCAGUGGCGGCGCCAUCUGGCUCUAAGCGUAGUAAUUCUUCUCGCUAUGGAGUCCUGGUGGAUGCUUGCCAUCAACCCCCAAUUUUUCUAUGGUUGACCUCGGAUCAGGUAGGGAUACCCGCUGAACUUAAGCAUAUCAAUAAGCGGAGGA
rnacentral:misc_RNA from 1 species